GACGAACGCUGGCGGCGUGCUUAACACAUGCAAGUCGAACGGAAAGGCCCUGCUUUUGUGGGGUGCUCGAUUGGCGAACGGGUGAGUAACACGUGAGUAACCUGCCCUUGAUUUUGGGAUAACUUCAGGAAACUGGGGCUAAUACCGGAUAGGAGCUCCUGCUGCAUGGUGGGGGGUGGAAAGUUUCGGCGGUUGGGGAUGGACUCGCGGCUUAUCAGCUUGUUGGUGGGGUAGUGGCGUACCAAGGCUUUGACGGGUAGCCGGCCUGAGAGGGUGACCGGGCACAUUGGGACUGAGGGACGGACCAGACUGCUACGGGAGGCAGCAGUGGGGAAUAUUGCACAAUGGGCGGAAGCCUGAUGCAGCAACGCCGCGUGCGGGAUGACGGCCUUCGGGUUGUAAAAAGCUUUCGCCUGUGACGAAGCGUGAGUGACGGUAAUGGGUAAAGAAGCACCGGCUAACUACGUG
rnacentral:rRNA from 1 species